rnacentral:rRNA from 1 species
UACGAAGGGGGCUAGCGUUGCUCGGAAUCACUGGGCGUAAAGGGUGCGUAGGCGGGUCUUUAAGUCAGGGUGAAAUCCGUGGAGCUCAACUCCAGAACUGCCUUUGAUACUGGCAAUCUCGAGUCCGGGAGAGGUGAGUGGAACUGCGAGUGUAGAGGUGAAAUUCGUAGAUAUUCGCAAGAACACCAGUGGCGAAGGCGGCUCACUGGCC